UUUCAGUAGAGAUUAUAUGCAUUUAUUUAUUGGCAAGUUUUGUAACUCACUUCAGCCUAAAGAUUGGGCAAAUGAAAAACAAAAGUACUGCUUUUACUACUGUUACAACUACUACUGUCACUACUGCUCCUGCUGUUGCUACUAAUACUAGGACUUUUGUGAGGCAAACUCUGCCAGCUGAUUCCUACUUCAGGUAACUGGUAUGAGUUGUCAUGAAGAGGAGGAGGAUAUGAAUGCAGACAGUAGGAAAUGUGCUGAUCUGAGAGAGGGAUCCUAAGGAUGUCAGCAUCCUUAAGAGAAACACUGGAAUGAUCCUUCCUUAAAAGACUGUCCCUGGAUCUGGCCAUAUUAAUCAACUAUUGCCCAGUCUCCAACUUCUACUUUGGGGUGAAGUUUAUGGAGAUCUUCAAUCAUCCAGGUCAUGGUUGUCCCAAAGGUGCUGAUGAGAAGUGAAACGUCGUAAUCACAAGGAUAGUGUUCUUUAUAUUGCUUUUAUGCUGUUGACUGUUUUUCGCCUCUUGAAACCUGCUUAGGGUCAACCAAUUUGAAACAACGUAAAAGUCCUGCUAAACGAGCUGUUAAUAAUUUUGCAAUGAAAAACACUUUAAAAAGUGAA